rnacentral:rRNA from 1 species
UACGUAGGGCGCAAGCGUUGUCCGGAAUUAUUGGGCGUAAAGAGCUCGUAGGCGGCUUGUCACGUCGGGUGUGAAAGCCCGGGGCUUAACCCCGGGUCUGCAUUCGAUACGGGCUGGCUAGAGUGUGGUAGGGGAGAUCGGAAUUCCUGGUGUAGCGGUGAAAUGCGCAGAUAUCAGGAGGAACACCGGUGGCGAAGGCGGCUUUCUGGACACUUACUGACGCUGAGACGCGAAAGCGUGGGGAGCAAACAGG